AUACGGAGGAUCCGAGCGUUAUCCGGAUUUAUUGGGUUUAAAGGGUGCGCAGGCGGCCAUUUAAGUCAGCGGUUAAAUCGUGGGGCUCAACCCCAUUCUGCCGUUGAUACUGGGUGGCUUGAUUGCGGUCGAGGUUGGCGGAAUUCGUUGUGUAGCGGAGAAAUGCAUAGAUAUGACGAAGAACACCGAUUGCGUAGGCAGCUGACCAGAUCGCAAAUGACGCUCAUGCACGAAAGUGCGGGGAUCGAACAGGAUUAGAUACCCUGGUAGUCCGCACAGUAAACGAUGAAUACUUGUUUUCGGCGAUAUAAUGUCGGAGGCAAAGCGAAAGCGAUAAGUAUUCCACCUGGGGAGUACGCCGGCAACGGUGAAACUCAAAUGAAUUGACGGGG
rnacentral:rRNA from 1 species